UGCCAGCAGCCGCGGUAAUACGGGGGGUGCAAGCGUUAAUCGGAAUGACUGGGCGUAAAGCGCGCGUAGGUGGUUACUUAAGUUGGAUGUGAAAGCCCCGGGCUCAACCUGGGAACUGCAUCCAAAACCGGGUAACUAGAGUACAGUAGAGGGGGGUAGAAUUUCAGGUGUAGCGGUGAAAUGCGUAGAGAUCUGAAGGAAUACCAGUGGCGAAGGCGGCUCACUGGCUCGGUACUGACGCUGAGGUGCGAAAGCGUGGGGAGCAAACAGGAUUAGAUA
rnacentral:rRNA from 1 species